rnacentral:rRNA from 1 species
AACGCUAGCUACAGGCUUAACACAUGCAAGUCGAGGGGAAACGACGUUGAGGGCUUGCCCUCAUCGGGCGUCGACCGGCGCACGGGUGAGUAACGCGUAUCCAACCUGCCCCCUACAGGGGAAUAAUCCGUCGAAAGGCGGUCUAAUGCCCCAUAUGUUCCGAGGCGGACAUCCAAAUUGGAAGAAAGUGGCGACACGGUAGGGGAUGGGGAUGCGUCCGAUUAGGUUGUUGGCGGGGCAACGGCCCACCAAGCCGUCGAUCGGUAGGGGUUCUGAGAGGAAGGUCCCCCACAUUGGAACUGAGACACGGUCCAAACUCCUACGGGAGGCAGCAGUGAGGAAUAUUGGUCAAUGGACGAGAGUCUGAACCAGCCAAGUAGCGUGCAGGAUGACGGCCCUAUGGGUUGUAAACUGCUUUUGUACGGGGAUAAAGUGAGCCACGCGUGGCUUAUUGCAGGUACCGUACGAAUAAGGACCGGCUAAUUCCGUGCCAGCAGCCGCGGUAAUACGGAAGGUCCGGGCGUUAUCCGGAUUUAUUGGGUUUAAAGGGAGCGCAGGCCGCAGGUUAAGCGUGUUGUGAAAUGCAGGGGCCCAACCUCUGCACUGCAGCGCGAACUGGUCUGCUUGAGUGCGCGCAACGUCAGCGGAAUUUGUCGUGUAGCGGUGAAAUGCUUAGAUAUCACGAAGAACUCCGAUUG